rnacentral:rRNA from 1 species
GCAAGUCGAGCGAGCGGAACCAACAGAUUUACUUCGGUAAUGACGUUGGGACAGCGAGCGGCGGAUGGGUGAGUAACACGUGGGGAACCUGCCCCUAAGUCUGGGAUACCAUUUGGAAACAGGUGCUAAUACCGGAUAAUAAAGCGGAUCGCAUGAUCAGCUUUUGAAAGGCGGCGUAAGCUGUCGCUAAGGGAUGGCCCCGCGGUGCAUUAGCUAGUUGGUAAGGUAACGGCUUACCAAGGCGACGAUGCAUAGCCGAGUUGAGAGACUGAUCGGCCACAUUGGGACUGAGACACGGCCCAAACUCCUACGGGAGGCAGCAGUAGGGAAUCUUCCACAAUGGACGCAAGUCUGAUGGAGCAACGCCGCGUGAGUGAAGAAGGUUUUCGGAUCGUAAAGCUCUGUUGUUGGUGAAGAAGGAUAGAGGUAGUAACUGGCCUUUAUUUGACGGUAAUCAACCAGAAAGUCACGGCUAACUACGUGCCAGCAGCCGCGGUAAUACGUAGGUGGCAAGCGUUGUCCGGAUUUAUUGGGCGUAAAGCGAGCGCAGGCGGAAAAAUAAGUCUAAUGUGAAAGCCCUCGGCUUAACCGAGGAACUGCAUCGGAAACUGUUUUUCUUGAGUGCAGAAGAGGAGAGUGGAACUCCAUGUGUAGCGGUGGAAUGCGUAGAUAUAUGGAAGAACACCAGUGGCGAAGGCGGCUCUCUGGUCUGCAACUGACGCUGAGGCUCGAAAGCAUGGGUAGCGAACAGGAUUAGAUACCCUGGUAGUCCAUGCCGUAAACGAUGAGUGCUAAGUGUUGGGAGGUUUCCGCCUCUCAGUGCUGCAGCUAACGCAUUAAGCACUCCGCCUGGGGAGUACGACCGCAAGGUUGAAACUCAAAGGAAUUGA